AAUGGCUUCAGGGUUUUGCUCCCUUUCCAGGAAGGAUGUGUUCUCCAUCUUGUAGGUCUUCCUCCUGCGUGAGUUUAUCAUGAGCUUCUUGAGGAAGAAGACCAGGUCUUCAUCCUUCACGGUGCCAACGAUGUUUGUUGAAUUGAAGCAGAAAGAGCUGAAAGCCUAAGCCCCGUACAAGUCCCCAGACAAAAAGGUCAGAAACGUGGAAUGAGGCUGUGCUUUGGCAGAUGUUAGCUUGUAACUGUCCACGUCAAACACUGGCCAUACCAGUGAGGUGAACAGAAAUUAGGAAACACUCACGGCUUCCCUCAUCUUCCUCAUGCCCAGUCCUCAAGCAGGAACCAAGGCAUCCUGAGUGAGGCCGACUGCACUUCCUCUGCCCCACCUGCAUGCUCCCCUGACUCGGGCCAGACUGUUUCUCACCUGCCGAGUCCGCUCUGGUUUCCCCUAGCCUUUCCUCCCUCUUGUACACCAUCCUCCUUGCUGGCAGGGUCAUUAUUCUAGAACUUAGAUUUGACCGUAUUACCUCUGCUUAAGCCUUCGGACUCCCUGUUAACUGAAAGAUAUCAUCUUUUCCACAUGGCAUCCGAGGUGCUCCAUGGUGGUGCCCAAAUCCGCCCUUCUAGACUCAACCCUGCCAUUUUCCUCCCAGGCCCCCUACAUCUCAACAACCCUGAACUCUCUCUCUCCCUCGAUACGUCGUUUCCUUCCUUGUCUUUGCGCAUGCUGGGCCCCUCUGCCCGGAAAACUGCUCCCCCUUCUCCACACAUACAUGUUCUCUACACACUUUUCUAUAUCCAGCCCAAAUAGCUCUCUGUGCAACACAGUGGAGUUAAUUGUUCCCACCAAGGCCUCAUAGAUCUGUUUGGGUAUCCAUUAAGCUGUGUGUUCGUUUACACAACCCAAAGAACAUAGGACGAUGUCUUUUACUUCUUUGAUCUCCAACACCUAUCCUAUACUGGGUGCUCAAGAAAUGUUGAAUAAAUAAAGGAAUAAAGUCUCGGUCUUUGUGAGUCAGGUUGGUGGAACAGGCCUUCCUAUCUGUCUAGGCUUUUGUUUCUUCCCUUAACUACAAGACGAUGUAUUUAGCCUUUCUUCAUGACAAGCUGUUCUCGUUAGAGAAGAGUUAUAUUAUUCUAGCUUUCAGUCACCCACUGGCUGAUGGGUUAUCCAAUGGAAACUCUGUUGCCCGUCUACUAUAAGAAUUGCAAAUGAAAGCAGCUUAGUGUGCUAAAAACAAGAUCUUAAGUACAUUCGAAGGGCAAAUAAACAAAUGGGGAAUGUAUGCCAUUGGUAUUAUAUGUGAUUGCUUUAAUGUCAUUUUGCUAAUAAUUUAUGCAGUUCCCCUUCUCUAGUCAACCCCUUAAGUGCAAAUAAUUGAGGGUUGUCAAAACAUUUUCAAUAACUCUGACCUUUGCACAUACACAGUGAAUAAGAAGGUGUAGAAAAAUUACAGGCCUUCAAAAAGGGGAAAGGUUCACUCCUGAAUUGCUUAAGAAAUGACAAAAUGAGUUCAUAUAAAGCUUGAUAGGCAACAGGAAGUUAAAAAAAAAAAACCGUGAUAAGGAAAGAGAAAUGCUGACCCAGAAAAGAUGAUCUGAAAAUGCAGAGGGAAACUUUUUUGACACAGAUGUAAUGUAAGAUCAUUGCUCUGAGGUGUUUUUUUUUUUUUUUUUUUUUUUUUUAAGAUAGGGCUAUAAAAGUGAGAAUUGAACUCAUGAUUCUGUAAGACAAGCAUGUCUGAUGAGCGGGGGGAAAUGGUUAUUCACUCUACUGGAAUUGCUUUAAUGGAAACUUCUUGAUGAGAGUUGUGUCUUAAAAUACUCAUCCAGUGAUGAGGAGUUAUUUCAAGAUGUGAAGUCAAGGAGGUGGUUGCAGUGAGGUUCGUGUGUGAAGCACGCCAUGUCUUUAGGAUGCCGAGUGGAGCCAGAUGAACAGUGUGCCAACAACUGUUCCCACUGGCCUUUUUGGACAGCUGGUUCCCAUCCCAGUGACAUACUGGCAGCCAUCAGCAACUAGUAAAUCUAUGAAUGCCGCCCAAGCAAAAGGGCGGGGUGAGGCCUUGAGCUCCUUCCUUUCUCCUUGGUAAUCCCCAUCUGCCCAGCAGAGUCCUUCCCUCUGGCUCAGCCGUCCUAAACUCUUCUCCGCUCUCGCUCUCUACUACAACAGUAGACAAGGCCCCCAGUAGACCUCCGGGCCUCCAGCCCGCUUUCUGUGCUCAUGAGAACCAACAGCUUUUGAAGCGCAACUCUCAAGAGAGGAGAAAUUAAAUUUCAAGUGUCCAA